rnacentral:pre_miRNA from 12 species
UUAAAAUUGAAUGGCGAUUGUCGGUAUGGUCGCUUUUUCACAAAAAAAUUGGUUACCAACAAGCGAAGUGACUAGACCGAACACUCGUGCUAUAAUUUUAAAAU